AGCUCCAAGAGCGUAUAUUAAAGUUGUUGCAGUUAAAAAGCUCGUAGUUGAACGUUGGCGCGGGGACCCGGUCCGCCCUCUGGGCGAGUACUGACGCCCCCGCGUCUCUUUGGGGCGGCCUUUUAGGUUGUUCCAGUAUUACUUUGAGUAAAUGAGAGUGUUCAAAGCAGGCGCACGCUUGAAUCUGUUAGCAUGGAAUAAUAGAAUAGGACGCAUGGUUCUAUUUUGUUGGUUUCUAGGACCAUCGUAAUGAUUAAUAGGGACGGUCGGGGGCAUCAGUAUUCAGUUGUCAGAGGUGAAAUUCUUGGAUUUACUGAAGACUAACUACUGCGAAAGCAUUUGCCAAGGACGUUUUCA
rnacentral:rRNA from 1 species